UGAUGGUACCCUGCAGGCUGAGGGGCAGCAAUAAACCAUGAUGGCAAUAGAGGAUCUGAGAUGAUGAGGACAGACACUUGAGCUGAGGAAGCAGUGCUAUCCACUGUCUUCCUCCUCUCAAGGAUGUAGGUAAUGUGGGAAGAUGGAGGGCUGACAGGAGAUGCUUGUAGGUGAUUCUCAGGGAGGUGUCUGAGAAACACUUUCAGCUACUUUCCCAAAGCUAAGUGUUUCCAAAGAUGCUUGAAACAGUUGUGUAGAGAACAGGAUGGACCAAACUGGGAGAUGACUGAGCACUGGAUGACCCUUGUGAUUCUCAGAGUGCUAUGAGGUGAGCCCUCUGUGACAUCACAGGGUAAAUCCCUGCCUUAGUAAUAGCAGACUGCUUAGCCUGCGGAUAACUCAAGAGUCCAGCAAGGAGGGCUGGGAUUCACACUGAGCACAUGUGUCUGCCUCGGCUUGGGCUGUUUUCUGGGAUGGACUACCUGAAAUUCAUCGCGUCCACUUCCAUAUGUGUGAAAGUGCAUGAGGAGGACAUGGAAUGAUGCUAUAUAUCUUGCUACAAAUAUGUAUAAACAGUUGCUGUAUAUGAAUGAUCUCUUUCAACGCCCUGGCCUCAGAAGUAUGCAUUGACAAUGAGAAAAAGCAGAUUAUAAAGUACCUUGGAAAGUCAGAAAAUGAAUGAGAAUUGACGAGGGAAAUAUUGAUUUCCUAGGAACAACAAACACUAGGCUAGGGAAUAAUCAAGUGCAGAAACCCAGGCUCUCAGUGUUCCUUCUAGCACUUUCUCAGGAAUAAUCAAAUGCUGCACCAAAGUCACAAAUGUCUUCUGAAAAAUCCCACAAGAAAUUUGCCCAGAAAACAGUGCAGAACACAGAAAGAAGGGGAAUAUGGUACAGCCAUCACACAAAGCUGACCUUACCUGGGUCCAAAAGCAAAUGACCACGAAAACAUGCGCACAGAAAAUAAUAACAGUAUGGGUGCUACAGGGCAACUUUUAAAAAGUUUCUCUCUAAUAGAUGCAGAAAGUAAACUCAACUUGAUUUCAUGACAGAGAUUCAAAACUGUUUUAGCAAGUACAAAUCAAACAACUCAAGGCAUAAACUAUGUAUAAUCAGUGGGAGAAAGCUCACUGAUAGAUAUAUAUCAAUAUAUCUAUGAAAGCCUAGGGCAAAAUAUCACAGUGGAUCACUAUGAAAGCUCUGAAGAAUGUGGAACAGAAGGAACAUUACUGAGUCUAAUGAGGAUAAUAGCCAACAUCAUAAACCUAUCACUACACAUACUGAAGACAGCUGUCAUCAUUCUACUCUACUCAGAAGACAGACAAGGAUGUGCAAAGCCUCCACACUAACUUAUCUCAGUGCAGCAAUGCUUGCAAAGAGCAAGUAAGACUUAGAAUAUUUUAAUGUUCAAAUAAGGAUACAAGGAAGGCACAUAUUCUCACAUUACAAGAAACAUAAUACUUCAACUCAAGAGCUGGCAAUAUCCCCAGAGAAUAAUUCAAUCUGAUAAUAUAUUUAAUAAGCUACAGAAAAAUACAAGAAAAAUAUGACUUGGUUUUAUACAUUCCUAAAGAAUAAUCUGAGAAGUCAGAAGACCAUUCAGUGUCUAAAGGAUCUUGGAUAUACUGGUUUUGCAUACAAACUGCUAAAAGGGGCUCUGUAGGCUGAUGGGUGUAAGGUGUCAUUAAUGGUUCUCCCUAGAUGCUGACCCUUGUGCUGUAAUACCAUCCUGUCUGACAAUGUAUGUCGACCAGUGUAGUAGUGACAAGUGGGUAAAGAAACUUUACUGCUUUGAAUUGAGGUCAGCCUACAAAGGAAAUACAGACAUGGCACUGGAAGCUGGUCAAAAGUCACUCUAAAUAUCACAGGCCCAAAAGUGAAUUUUAACUGACACACUGAUAUAUGUAGAAAUACAGAAAUACAUUUAAAUUGUUGGUGUUUUCAGCCUAAGUCAAACAAACAUGAAUUGUAGAGGGAAACUGCCAAUUCAGAGAGAGCUGAAUAAAAAGCCAGCAGUGGGGAAAAGGCAACACUGUAAAAGAAGGAGGAAGUGGAGUUAUGGAAAUCCAUGCUGUCAUAUACCAUGGAACAUGGAAUUAUGAAUAUACGACAGCAUGGAUACCCAUUCAAAACCUUCCUCAGAACAUACAUGAAACACAAGGAUAGGAUGAAAACAUGAAUAACAAGGGAUGGGACAGGGAAAGAAGAGAUGUUAACUUGGCAAGCACUCUGGGGCAAGUCAUGUGCGAAGGCCAUUCACCUGAAAACACAAGCACUAGGGGAUUUAGAGAUCACAGAUUAAAGUGAACUCUAGGAGCUUUGUAAUAUCUGCAAUACCAAAGAAACCAGAUAAUGAAGAUCCUCUACCAGAACGUUUCUCUGUGAAUAUUCUAACAAUUGUAAUAUGCAUGAACUGAGUAUAAUCCGUAAUCCGUGUGAUGGAAAAUUUACUGACAACAGGAAUUUCUGUAAAACAGAAAUUGGAGAUGCAGGGAAAAAUACAUUGCUGUCAUAAAUUUACAAUACUCAAAACUUGAUGCCCUGGGCAUUUGUAGACAGACAGCAUCAAGUGUAUAAUUAAAAAAUGGGCAUAGGAAUACAUGAAUUUUCAGGGAGUAAUGAGGACAUUUUUCAAAGUAUGUCACUUCAUGACUCUUACCUGUGACAUACAGGCUGAGUAUCGUUGUCAUUUCUACCACCAACAGAACAUAAAUUCCUGCUUCAGUGACAGAUGCUGUACUUUAAGUUCAAAAGGAAGAAAUACAUAAAAUAAAUGUGUGUCCUGGAA
rnacentral:lncRNA from 1 species